rnacentral:rRNA from 1 species
GACGAACGCUGGCGGCGUGCUUAACACAUGCAAGUCGAACGACGAACCCGGAGCUUGCUCUGGGGGAUUAGUGGCGAACGGGUGAGUAACACGUGAGUAACCUGCCCUGGACUCUGGGAUAAGCGUUGGAAACGACGUCUAAUACCGGAUAGGACCUUGGAUCGCAUGAUCUGGGGUGGAAAGUUUUUUCGGUCUGGGAUGGACUCGCGGCCUAUCAGCUUGUUGGUGAGGUAAUGGCUCACCAAGGCGUCGACGGGUAGCCGGCCUGAGAGGGUGACCGGCCACACUGGGACUGAGACACGGCCCAGACUCCUACGGGAGGCAGCAGUGGGGAAUAUUGCACAAUGGGCGAAAGCCUGAUGCAGCAACGCCGCGUGCGGGAUGACGGCCUUCGGGUUGUAAACCGCUUUUAGUAGGGAAGAAGGGCUUCGGCUUGACGGUACCUGCAGAAAAAGGACCGGCUAACUACGUG